rnacentral:lncRNA from 1 species
CUUCUAUGCAGUGGAAGAAAAUCUGUUUCGGGUAUCCAAGCCUUGCUUCGCAAAAAUUGCUGAUGCAACUCCUCUACUUCGCUUGCACGUCUCACUCCUUAGAAGAGAGGAGAUGAAGGCCUAGGUGUCGCACCAGAGAGUAGCAGAGCAGAGGAGGGAAGGCGUGGAGGAGGAAGAGUGGCGUGGAGAUCAAAUCCGAUGCCCAGAAUUUUUUCUUUGUGAUGUCGCACCGUUCCAUGCCCUUUCUCAUCAUCUUUUUUAUUAAGAUUUAUCGCACAAAGCAGAUAAGCCAUGCCCCAUCUGGAUGAGAACUCAAAUUUGAAUCUAAUUCAAAUUGAUUGUUGUCCACUAAGUGACCCAAGGAGGAGGGGAGGCGCCAAACUUGCGCCUCCUCAAAUUAUCGCACACACAAGGGAGGGGGUGGGAUUUCUAAGCACCCCUCUUUCUUAUUAGUUAGUCAACAUGAGAGAGAAGCCCAGAGAUUUUGGGGCUAGGUCACCAAAUGAAAUUUGGUUCCAAUCUGGGUUCAAUUCGAAUUCGAAUCCGAUUUAAACCUAAUUCGAAUCAUAUUUAAAAGGCUGUUGACCCUAAUCUAAUUAGGGUUGAAUUCUAAGUCUAACUUCGAUAAUUAAACCUAAUUGAUCUUAAAUAAAAUCAAACUUAAUUAAAUUAAAUUUGAUUUAAAUUAAUUAGAUCUCAAAUCCAAUCUAUUUACAGAUUAGACCCUGAUUAGAAGUUCAGUUCCUAAUCAAAUUAGGACUCGAACUCAAUCCCCUCAUAUUCCUUGGAUCACAAAUAAAUUUAACUUCAUCCCUAAAAUUAAUCCUGCAGCUAAUGUCCAGUUCUAGUUGGACAUAGCUAGAAUUUAAUCCCAUAUGAUUCAGAACUUAAUUCUUAGUUAAGUAAAUCUAUUUAUUCAAUCAAGUCACCUACUUCCAAAUUGAACAUACA